rnacentral:lncRNA from 1 species
GGAUUAGAAGGAGGGGAUGACAAGCAACAACAACCAAAAUCUUCACUGAGCUCCUUCAGCUGAUCAUCAUCUCCGAAUGACUUCAAUUUCAAACGAGGGAGAUGAAUAAACUUUAAAGUAACCAAGUUCCAAAGACAAAACUCAAGGUCAUCUGGAUAGUUGGACAUAAUUAACCAGCCAUGGAAACAGCCCCAAAUCUCUCUUCCCAGUAAUUGUGGUAUUCGACAAUGAUAAUGGUGAUAUUGAAAAGGAGAAAUCGGUA